AACGAACGCUGGCGGCAUGCCUAACACAUGCAAGUCGAACGAGACCUUCGGGUCUAGUGGCGCACGGGUGCGUAACGCGUGGGAACCUGCCCUUAGGUUCGGAAUAACUCCCCGAAAGGGGUGCUAAUACCGGAUAAUGUCUUCGGACCAAAGAUUUAUCGCCUUUGGAUGGGCCCGCGUUGGAUUAGCUAGUUGGUAGGGUAAAAGCCUACCAAGGCGACGAUCCAUAGCUGGUCUGAGAGGAUGAUCAGCCACACUGGGACUGAGACACGGCCCAGACUCUUACGGGGGGAAGAAGUGGGGAAUAUGGGACAAUGGGCGAAAGCCUGACCCAGCAAGGCGGGGUGAGUGAUGAAGGCUUUAGGGUUGUAAAGCCCUUUUACCCGGAAUGAUAAUGACAGUACCGGGGGAAUAAGCCCCGGCUACCUCCGU
rnacentral:rRNA from 1 species